CGGAACGUACCUUUCAGUGGGGGAUAACGUAGCGAAAGUUACGCUAAUACCGCAUAUUCUGUGAGCAGGAAAGCAGGGGAUCGCAAGACCUUGCGCUGAUUGAGCGGCCGAUAUCAGAUUAGCUAGUUGGUGAGGUAAAGGCUCACCAAGGCGACGAUCUGUAGCGGGUCUGAGAGGAUGAUCCGCCACACUGGAACUGAGACACGGUCCAGACUCCUACGGGAGGCAGCAUGGGGAAUUUUGGACAAUGGGGGCAACCCUGAUCCAGCCAUGCCGCGUGAGUGAAGAAGGCCUUCGGGUUGUAAAGCUCUUUCGGCCGGGAAGAAAUCGUAUGGGUUAAUACCCUGUGCGGAUGACGGUACCGGCAUAAGAAGCACCGGCUAACUACGUGCCAGCAGCCGCGGUAAUACGUAGGGUGCGAGCGUUAAUCGGAAUUACUGGGCGUAAAGCGUGCGCAGGCGGUUUUGUAAGACAGGCGUGAAAUCCCCGGGCUCAACCUGGGAACUGCGCUUGUGACUGCAAGGCUAGAGUACGGCAGAGGGGGGUGGAAUUCCACGUGUAGCAGUGAAAUGCGUAGAGAUGUGGAGGAACACCAAUGGCGAAGGCAGCCCCCUGGGUCGAUACUGACGCUCAUGCACGAAAGCGUGGGUAGCAAACAGGAUUAGAUACCCUGGUAGUCCACGCCCUAAACGAUGUCAACUAGGUGUUGGGUGGGUAAAACCAUUUAGUACCGGAGCUAACGCGUGAAGUUGACCGCCUGGGGAGUACGGCCGCAAGGUUAAAACUCAAAGGAAUUGACGGGGACCCGCACAAGCGGUGGAUGAUGUGGAUUAAUUCGAUGCAACGCGAAAAACCUUACCUACCCUUGACAUGUCCAGGAGCCUGAAGAGAUUUGGGUGUGCCCGGAAGGGAACUGGAACACAGGUGCUGCAUGGCUGUCGUCAGCUCGUGUCGUGAGAUGUUGGGUUAAGUCCCGCAACGAGCGCAACCCUUGUCGUUAAUUGCCGUCAUUUAGUUGGGCACUUUAACGAGACUGCCGGUGACAAACCGGAGGAAGGUGGGGAUGACGUCAAGUCCUCAUGGCCCUUAUGGGUAGGGCUUCACACGUCAUACAAUGGUCGGUACAAAGGGUCGCCAACCCGCGAGGGGGAGCCAAUCCCAGAAAGCCGAUCGUAGUCCGGAUCGUAGGCUGCAACUCGCCUGCGUGAAGUCGGAAUCGCUAGUAAUCGUGGAUCAGCAUGUCACGGUGAAUACGUUCCCGGGUCUUGUACACACCGCCCGUCACACCAUGGGAGCGGGUUCCGCCAGAAGUAGGUAGCCUAACCGCAAGGGGGGCGCUUACCACGGCGGGGUUCGUGACUGGGGUGAAGUCGUAACAAGGUA
rnacentral:rRNA from 1 species